GUUAAAGACUUAAACUGAGUGUUCUGGACUUGCAACUUCCACCCACUGACUGGCCAGUGAGUGGGUUUGGACAGAAGUGCUGGGAACAACACAGCAGAACAUCUCAGCAGAAGGACCCACUGGUGACUUGAUGCUUCUCACUCCACAAACAGACAAGGAAGCUGAAGCACAGAGAGGAACCUGCCCAGCAUCACAAAGAGGAGUCAGGAUACAACGUCAGUAAAUCUCAGUCAAGCUCUUAACCCUGGAAAGAUCUGAGUUCUGGAAAGAGGAUGGCUCUGUAGGACGGCUGCACGGGGGGACUCUAGCCCCAGUUAGAUGCUUCAAUACUGUUACAAGCUUUCAUUACAAGAUAAAUUAAAUAAAAGCUCCUCUUUCAAUGGAAGCUGACCAUCUUGCUAAUAAUUUUGCGACUCAGAAUGACACUUCAUCAAAGCUUCUGGUCUGCUCACGUGGAAGGAGCAGUCUUUGAGGACGGGAGACGUCCUCCAGAUGUAAUCAGCUGCGGAUCUGCUCAUUACCAUGCCUGGGACCUGGAGACUAUUAGGGUUUUCCAUUCCCCAAACAUUAUGAGAGCACAUUAUUUUAUAUAAUUGGAAAAAUACAUCAGCUGUGUGAAUACAUUUGGAAUUCUACAAACAAAAUGCCUGGUUCCAGGGAAACGGUGCCCUGAGCAUCCUGACACAGAAGGCGGGACCAAUGCUCUUAAACAAAGGAUCUUUAAUAAAGAAGAUUUAUCAUUCCAAAGGCUUCUGUUCCGACUGUCGGACCCAAGGUGGAGGAGAGAGGAAGAGAUAUUGGAACCCCACCGCCCCACUAGGUGGAGGAAGUUAACUGCAUGCUGCCCACCAGCACAUAGACCCCAGACCAGAUGGAACCAGAAGGGAAAGAGGUGAACGCCCUACCUGCAGCAGUGGCCUGAGAGCAGAGGAAAAGCCGAGCCGAGCCUGCAGAGAGGAGGAGAAGUCUCCCGCCCUGGGGAGACCCCACAGGGUGCCGGGAACACGCCAGGAGAUGCCCGAGGCCUGGCCGCUGUGUGGAGGAUUCGGUGACAAAAUGUCUGGGGACGCCUAGUUCACGCGAGUGACUGGACGGAUCUUGCUACGUGGUGUGAUUCCUCCUUCAAGUCAAGAGACCCCGGCAUGGGUGCCUGGUGACAAGCCCCUCUUCCAGAUUCCACGGGCUUGACCCCAUGCUGGGGGACGGGUGGCGAGGGAGGCCUGGACGGGCCCGGUGUCCUGCACAGGGAAGGAGGCUGAGAUUUGCCUGAGUGGGACCGAGAGUAAGGGACACACGGAGCAGGGGCAGAGGGGCUCCAGCGUCCCUGCCCUGACCCCUGCUGUCACCACGGCAGUGCGGGGGGGCUCCAUUCUGACAGGCUGUCCCUUUUCUCCCAUCCUGAGAGCCGUCCCAGAACCCUCCCUACGGGGGCCAGAGAGAACUGUCCCUCCCCACCAGGCCCUUCUGGAAAGGGGGGCAGGCGUCUUGCACACUCUGCCCCCAGGGAGAUGUCAGUAGAAGGUAGGAUGGAGGACCCUCCCUGGGGCUGGGGAGGCAGGCUUGGGGACCGGGCUGCAGAGGAAUCACCGGGAAUGAUCCAGAAGGAAGGGAAGUCACCGCCCACUGCCUGCACCCUUUUUGGUGUGGUUUUGCUGUUUCUUGGCUGUUUCUUUUGGCCUCUCAGCGUCAACAUCGGUGUAACCUGACGUCCCCCCAGAGAUUCCCACUGUGGCUCUGGCUGGCGUGUUGGCGUGGUUCCCACCUCCACUCCCAACCUUGGCCACCCACAGAUGCUCGUGGGGUCUCGGAGAGAGGUUGGAGCACCUGACAGGCUGGCGGAAUGCCCAGGACAGAAAAGGUGCCACGUCCCCAGGAAUGCUGACCAAGGAGCCCUGGGCAGAAGCCGUUCUGGGUGACCAGAGGAGGUGGGACCAGACGGCCGGUGGCCCCAGGGUCCGAGGUCAGGGGCCAGCGUUUCCUUCUGUAUCAAAUGUAUCAGGAUCUUACCUUCCCAGCUUCGGCACAAAAGAAAAAUAAACAAACAGACCACA